GCCUACGGGGCGCAGCAGUAGGGAAUCUUCCACAAUGGGCGCAAGCCUGAUGGAGCAACACCGCGUGAGUGAAGAAGGGUUUCGGCUCGUAAAGCUCUGUUGUUGGAGAAGAACGUGCGCGAGAGUAACUGUUCACGCAGUGACGGUAUCCAACCAGGAAGUCACGGCUAACUACGUGCCAGCCGCCGCGGUAAUACGGAGGUGGCAAGCGUUAUCCGGAUUUAUUGGGCGUAAAGCGAGGGCAGGCGGUUGGUUAGGGUUUGUGGGAAAGCCGU
rnacentral:rRNA from 1 species